CACAUCCUCAUUCCCGACUCCGCAUUCUGUGGGAUGGUGGCUCGCGUGUGCUUAACCUAAUCGAAAACCACACACACACCCACAUAUACUUCUUUGUACACCAAUGCUUGUACCCAAACUACAAUAUUAAAGUUUGCUGGAAUAA